AUCCAAACUAGAUGGUGGAUAUACAUUGGAACAAUCAGAAAGCAUUCCCAGACAGCUUAUUACGAUGCAUAACAUUUGACUAACAUAAAUUCAAAGUCGAGCAAAUGAAGGCAAAAAGGCAGAAGGGAAGAGUGAAAAUGGACCCAGAAAUAGGGCGAAGCAUGUCUGCCACACUCGUCUACCUGCUGACCAUGGGUGAACCUCAUGGUGAGCUGUUGACCACAGGAUUCACCACAGAAUUCACUCUCCAGAAGACAAAAACUGCUGUGGAGAUUGGAAAAUUUAUCUUAAAAUAUUAAGGUCAGACAAGAACCUCUGUCAAGGAACAGGAAGUCGUGCCCUGAGGAGACAAGUAGAGGCUGUAGCCAUGGGUGGCUUUGGGGUAGUAGCUGUUGGCUGUGCCUAGAAGGACAUCAUGAAAGUUGUAAGUGCUGCUAAUUGACGUCCCCCAAUUCAUAUGCGGAAGUCCUGGCCCCUAGUACCUCAAGAUGUGCUUGGUUUUGGAGCUGGGGUCUUUAAAGAGGUAAUUCAGUUAAAAUGAGGUUGUUAUUAUGGGCCCCAAUCCAAUAUGACUGUUGUUUUUAUAAGAAGAGCUGAUUAGGACACAGACAUGUAGAGGAAAGACCAUGGGAAGAUUCAGGGAGAAGGUGGCCAUCUUCCAACCAAGGAGAGAUGGGCCUGAAGAGCCCAGCCCUGCUGACACCUCGAUCUUGGACUUCCCGGCCUUCAGAACUGUGAGGAAAUAAAUUUCUGUUGUUUAAGCCACCCAGCCUGUAGUACUAUGUCAUGGCAGCCCUAGCAAACUAAUGUCCCCCCCACAUCUAAAAUUGGCAUCAUUUAUGGAGAUGGAGUUGAGCCCAGAUUUCUCUUGGGGGAACAUUGUCUUUGGUUUCUAAUUUGACAAAUGUUUACUGAGUGUAGA
rnacentral:lncRNA from 10 species